rnacentral:tRNA from 1 species
UCCCUGGUGGUCCAGUGGUUAGGACUCUGUGCUUUCACUGCUGAGGGCCUGGGUUCAAUCCCUGGUCGGAGAG